rnacentral:rRNA from 1 species
GACGAACGCUGGCGGCGUGCUUAACACAUGCAAGUCGAACGGAAAGGCCCUGCUUUUGUGGGGUGCUCGAGUGGCGAACGGGUGAGUAACACGUGAGUAACCUGCCCUUGACUUUGGGAUAACUUCAGGAAACUGGGGCUAAUACCGGAUAGGAGCUCCUGCUGCAUGGUGGGGGUUGGAAAGUUUCGGCGGUUGGGGAUGGACUCGCGGCUUAUCAGCUUGUUGGUGGGGUAGUGGCUUACCAAGGCUUUGACGGGUAGCCGGCCUGAGAGGGUGACCGGCCACAUUGGGACUGAGAUACGGCCCAGACUCCUACGGGAGGCAGCAGUGGGGAAUAUUGCACAAUGGGCGGAAGCCUGAUGCAGCAACGCCGCGUGCGGGAUGACGGCCUUCGGGUUGUAAACCGCUUUCGCCUGUGACGAAGCGUGAGUGACGGUAAUGGGUAAAGAAGCACCGGCUAACUACGUGCCAGCAGCCGCGGUGAUACGUAGGGUGCGAGCGUUGUCCGGAUUUAUUGGGCGUAAAGGGCUCGUAGGUGGUUGAUCGCGUCGGAAGUGUAAUCUUGGGGCUUAACCCUGAGCGUGCUUUCGAUACGGGUUGACUUGAGGAAGGUAGGGGAGAAUGGAAUUCCUGGUGGAGCGGUGGAAUGCGCAGAUAUCAGGAGGAACACCAGUGGCGAAGGCGGUUCUCUGGGCCUUUCCUGACGCUGAGGAGCGAAAGCGUGGGGAGCGAACAGGCUUAGAUACCCUGGUAGUCCACGCUGUAAACGGUGGGUACUAGGUGUGGGGUCCAUUCCACGGGUUCCGUGCCGUAGCUAACGCUUUAAGUACCCCGCCUGGGGAGUACGGCCGCAAGGCUAAAACUCAAAGGAAUUGACGGGGCCCCGCACAAGCGGCGGAGCAUGCGGAUUAAUUCGAUGCAACGCGUAGAACCUUACCCGGGUUUGACAUGGAUCGGGAGUGCUCAGAGAUGGGUGUGCCUCUUUUGGGGUCGGUUCACAGGUGGUGCAUGGCUGUCGUCAGCUCGUGUCGUGAGAUGUUGGGUUAAGUCCCGCAACGAGCGCAACCCUUGUUCACUGUUGCCAGCACGUUAUGGUGGGGACUCAGUGGAGACCGCCGGGGUCAAUUCGGAGGAAGGUGGGGAUGACGUCAAGUCAUCAUGCCCCUUAUGUCCAGGGCUUCACGCAUGCUACAAUGGCUGGUACAGAGAGUGGCGAGCCUGUGAGGGUGAGCGAAUCUCGGAAAGCCGGUCUCAGUUCGGAUUGGGGUCUGCAACUCGACCUCAUGAAGUCGGAGUCGCUAGUAAUCGCAGAUCAGCAACGCUGCGGUGAAUACGUUCCCGGG